rnacentral:lncRNA from 1 species
GGCUAGAGAUGGCUUUAAGAUCUUCUGCUUUGCACGCUUCUUAGCUCUGCCAAGUCUCCAGAUUUUUUUUUCUUCCUAUUUUAAGUCUGGCAUUAAGCAGGCCACCCUUUGGAUCGCCCUGUCUCUCGGCCCAACUGGAAGCCUCCAAAGGAG